UACGAAGGGGGCUAGCGUUGCUCGGAAUUACUGGGCGUAAAGGGAGCGUAGGCGGACAGUUUAGUCAGAGGUGAAAGCCCAGGGCUCAACCUUGGAAUUGCCUUUGAUACUGAUUGUCUUGAGUACGGGAGAGGUGUGUGGAACUCCGAGUGUAGAGGUGAAAUUCGUAGAUAUUCGGAAGAACACCAGUGGCGAAGGCGACACACUGGCCCGUUACUGACGCUGAGGCUCGAAAGCGUGGGGAGCAAACAGG
rnacentral:rRNA from 1 species